UGACUGGAUGGAACAUUAUUUAUGGACGU
rnacentral:piRNA from 1 species